rnacentral:rRNA from 1 species
UACAGAGGUCCCAAGCGUUGUUCGGAUUCACUGGGCGUAAAGGGUGCGUAGGUGGCGAGGUAAGUCGGAUGUGAAAGCUCGGAGCUCAACUCCGAAAUGGCAUUGGAAACUACCUUGCUCGAGGGUUGGAGGGGGGACUGGAAUUCUCGGUGUAGCAGUGAAAUGCGUAGAUAUCGAGAGGAACACCAGUGGCGAAGGCGAGUCCCUGGACAACUCCUGACACUGAGGCACGAAAGCUAGGGGAGCGAAUGGG